UUUUUUCUUCCACCUGGUUCAUCGUGUUAACAACCCUAAGUAUUUUGGUUCUAUCUGGGGUUUUGAAACUCUCUUUGUUUAUUUUAUACGCAUGUUUGGUUCGAUUAAGUUCUUUGUGUUUGAAUCCUUUUUUUUCUUGUUUGACUUAUCUGAUUAUGAUUUCUUAGCAUUUUUAACUCGACUAUUGCAUAAACCCUAAUUUCUUAAAAGGUCUUCAUCACUUAUUACUAUGAGUUCUAUACUUGUUUCUGAUUUUCUUUACCUGUUGAUUACCAUGCUUUCAAUAGUAUUUAGCCUAUUCAUGUCACUCAUGUGUGUCAAUGUUCAUCUAGUCUGCUCCAUUUUGUCAAUAUGAUUAAACCUGUAUGUCUAAUAUGCCUGUUCACUCCUUUCUAUUUAUAUGAUGAAGUGCAGAAUCAUGAACACUUCUUGAUUAAUCUCUAUUGCCUUAAGUGACGAUUUAAUUACAAGAUAUUCUUAUAAACCCUAAUUUUAAUCGUUUGUUUAAGUGAUUGAUUUCUUCCUUUAUUUGUUGUGAUAUUACACCUUAUAGAAACAUUUUUCCAAUUAAAUAUAUUAUGUACAUAGACUCAAUUGUAUACUUUAUAUUUGUCUAUCCCUUAUAUAGUCAGAAAUCAAUCUUUCUCAAACUAUUUUUCUUUCCUUAAUUAUCUCUGUUGGUAUCCGUUAAGCAGCAAUUCCUUUAUUAAAGGAAAGUACUUGUGUUAGUUGAUUCUGAUUGUGACUAUUUCCAUGUUUGUGUUAAUUGUUAUCUUAAUUUAUACUCGUUUUCAAAGUUAUACAUACCCAACCCACUCUUCUUUAAAACACACAGACAAUUGAGUUAAAAAACGCACACUUACGCACUCAAAACUCUCUAUUUCUUUACUACUGCUUGUGUUACUACUUUGUCUAUCCAACUGAAAGCCAAAGCUAGACUGUGGAAUUGUACUUGCUUUACCUUUUUGCACUUUGCUUAUUUGACUGGUAUGUCCUAGUUUUAUUUUUAAAUCUCCAACAACAACAUGCUGCCUUAUUUGCUUAAGCUUUUUUCAUUUUUUGGUCUACUUCUGCUUGUGGUUCUGUUAUGAUGCAUUACUAGCAUGCUGUAAUGCAUCCCCUUCCCCUUUAGAUUAAUGCACUUCCCCUAUGUGUAUUUCAAAGCAUACUCCGUCAGUCACUUAUUGUGUACUUGCUGUCUUAUGAAUUCCAAUUCCAAACCCCAUAUCCCCUCUAUGUGUUUGUGGUUUUUUGGCUGGUUUUGUGACCAUGCCAGUAUCAGCUAUUGAUGUCCAUGUCCAAACCAGACCCCCACCGGGGUCAUGUGCAUACAGACAAGCGUCUCCCAAAAAUCCCUUGACCCCCUUGCAUGACUACUGAUUCUGUGUGUGAUCCCAUCUUAAGGGGUUUUGACUUUUGUUUACUACUACAACUGCUUUCAAUUUUGGGGCUGGCUAGUGAAAAAGGGCUAGAAAAUAUGCAUGCUUUAGCUAUCAAAAGAGUAAAAAGAAUGUUACUAGGUUUACUUUCCUACUUGUGUAAUAGAAUCCAUGCUUAGAACUCAUUUCAUGCAUUAGAUAUCAUGCUCCUUAGGAUUUACACUUAUUGUUUUCAGCAUGUCCUUCAUAUCACUUUGCAAAAUCCUGCAUUAAAUGUGUUAAUAACGAGUGUUUCUGCAAUCAUGUUUCUACUUCCAUGCAUACUUAGAGAUUCUGUUUUAGGCUAAACAACACUAACGAACAUAUUUUCUUUGUAUAUUUUGGGAAUCAUAUAUAAAUAUUGGUGCAUACAGAAAUCCUGCUUAUGAUUCUGUAUAUAUGUAAUUUUACAUCCCUGUGCGUUAGAUACCAUGUCUUUAGGAUGUCAUUCACUUAUAUUCGCUAAGGCUAAUUAGGAUUGGAUAAAAAGGGAAUAAAAUUAUUUCACUCAGUCAUUACAACCAACUGGCCAUAAUUCUAUAUGCCGAACACCUAGAACAACAUGUUUAGAUAGUAAGAAUAAUCUCCAAACAUCUUAAUGAUUCUGAGUAACUACUGAAUACCGUUUACGCAUAGGCAAGCCUUAUGUAACUACUUAAAGAUAAACUGGAAUUGUCUUUGUUAAUUAUCAACUGCUACAACCAGCAGACAGGCCUGAUUCAGACUUAUUUUCUGAGUUAUAUAAUGAAUCUGGUUCUGACUCAAAUGCCCUGCUUUAGGAUUUUUAAAAUUUAGACCUUAAUUGUGUAUGAGUCACUUUGUUUAUAUGCAUUAUUUGCGGAGGUGUACAUGAACCUUUUAAUUACUCACAUGCUUCCCCUUUCAAUGCUGUCCUACGUGUUUUUGUAUGUUGUCUUAGCUUGUUUGCCUUUAAACGUAAGAUUCAGCCUAAAACCUCCCUCUAAUAGGAAUAGUAGUCCUAAAUUCCUCCGAUACUGAUAGAAAUGGGACGGGUAACAACAUGAAAUAGAGGUCGAGACCAAUCCUCGCUUUAAUACUUUCAAGGGGUGGGAAGGGUAAGUAUGGAUAUGAUGAACGGUGCGCUAAUACCAUGUGUAUCCCCUCUUCUGAGGAGUGUCAUACCGGGUAUUGGAUUGAUGUGAUCCAUAUUACAAACAAACCUAGGACCCAUUUAACAUUCACAAUCAUGUUUAACUUAUAACUCUUUUCAAAACCUUGCUUUUCAAUAAUUAAUUUUAGACUUAAAUCCCCUCUUAUUUACACCUUACUUGUUUACUUGCUAAUUGUACAAAUUCACAAAAUUAUCCGGCCAAGAACCACACUAGUGGAACCUGAGGGGUGCACAACACCUUCCCCUUAGGAUAAUUUCAAGCCCUUAUAUAUCUCUGGUUAUCAAACAUAGUUGUAGUUGAACCUAGUAAGUGCCCUAACGCACCUUAAAUUAUUAGGUGGCAACACUUUUAAAUACUCAAUUCCCAAUAGGAAAUGAGUCGUUACACCCCAUAAAAUGUCGAAACUCGGAG
rnacentral:lncRNA from 1 species